rnacentral:rRNA from 1 species
AUUGAACGCUGGCGGCAUGCCUUACACAUGCAAGUCGAACGGUAACAGGUCUUCGGAUGCUGACGAGUGGCGAACGGGUGAGUAAUACAUCGGAACGUGCCCGAUCGUGGGGGAUAACGGAGCGAAAGCUUUGCUAAUACCGCAUACGAUCUACGGAUGAAAGCAGGGGACCGCAAGGCCUUGCGCGGACGGAGCGGCCGAUGGCAGAUUAGGUAGUUGGUGGGAUAAAAGCUUACCAAGCCGACGAUCUGUAGCUGGUCUGGGAGGACGACCAGCCACACUGGGACUGAGACACGGCCCAGACUCCUACGGGAGGCAGCAGUGGGGAAUUUUGGACAAUGGGCGCAAGCCUGAUCCAGCCAUGCCGCGUGCAGGAUGAAGGCCUUCGGGUUGUAAACUGCUUUUGUACGGAACGAAACGGCUCUUUCUAAUAAAGAGGGCUAAUGACGGUACCGUAAGAAUAAGCACCGGCUAACUACGUGCCAGCAGCCGCGGUAAGAC